UUCUUCGGAACCAAUCUAGCGGCGGACGGGUGAGUAACGCGUGGGCAACCUACCUUAUAGAGGGGAAUACCCUUCCGAAAGGAAGAUUAAUACCGCAUAACAUUGCGGUUUCGCAUGAAGGACAAUUAAAGGAGAAAUCCGCUAUAAGAUGGGCCCGCGGCGCAUUAGCUAGUUGGUGAGGUAAAGGCUCACCAAGGCGACGAUGCGUAGCCGACCUGACAGGGUGAUCGGCCACAUUGGGACUGAGACACGGCCCAGACUCCUAGGGAGGCAGGGUGGGGAAUAUUGCACAAUGGGGGAAACCCUGAUGCUGCAACGCCCCGUGAGUGAUGAAGGUUUUCGGAUCCUAAAACUCUGUCUUUGGGGACCAUAAUGACGGUACCCCCGGAGGAAGCCACGGCUAACUACGUGCCAGCACCCGCGGUAAUACGUAGGUGGCAAGCGUUGUCCGGAUUUACUGGGCGUAAAGGGAGCGUACGUGGAUUUUUAAGUGAGGUGUGAAAUACUCGGGCUCAACCCGAGAACUGCAUUUCUCACUGGAAAUCUAGAGUGCAGGACUGGAAAGUGGAAUUCCUAGUGUAGCGGUGAGAUGCGUACAUGUUACGAAGAACACCAUUGGCGACGCAACUUUCUGGACUGUAACUGACACUGAGGCUCGCUGGCGUGACGAGCAUGCACGAUUAGAUACCCUGCUAGUCCACGCCGUACCGAUGAAUACUACGUGUGAGAGUUGUCAUGACUUCCGUGCCACCGCUGCUGCAUUAAGUAUUCCGCCUGGCGAGUACGGUCGCAGAUUAAAA
rnacentral:rRNA from 1 species